rnacentral:sRNA from 1 species
UUUUAUGCCUGAGGCGUUUUGAGGUCUGGUCGGGGGACCAUUUCAUGAGACUGCUCCGAAGCGUUCUCGACAUCGCCUCGGUGUGGAUUCUUGACGAGAUCUCCGAGGCGUUUUGUGGCCCGGUUCGGGAUAACUCAUCGAUGUCUCCCGAGGCGUUGAGGUGAGCUUCAUGAAUGGAUUCCUGAGCCGACUGUUCGUCUUCUAGUUCUGUCGCCUCAUCUUCUUGGAUGGUCAAACUUCUGUCGCGUGUCGCCGACUAUUCUUGAGGAGUGGAAACGUUUCUUGCUUAUUCCCGAGGAUCAUGCGGAUCUUUUUCUUCUGCCGAGCCCACGCGCUUGAACGCGUUUUGAAUGUUU